CAGCGGCGAUGCUACGCCGUAUGGGGGAUGGUUCGGCUAGAGCGCCGAAGAAGGUCGUGUCAAGCUGCGAUAUUCGUCGGGUAGGUGCAAGAAGCCUAUGAUCCGACGGUCACCUAAUGGGACUUCCUAUUCUUCGGAAUGGUCGGUAGCGACCGGGAACGCGGGGGAUUGAAGCAUCUUAGUACCCGCAGGAAAAGAAAUCAACAGAGAUACCGUUAUUAAAGGCGAUCGAAAGCGGUGUUAGGGCAAACCGAAUCCCCUCCCGAAAGGGAGGGGAGAUGUGGUGUAGAAGGCCCGCCCACGCCUACGUCCGCAGAUCCGAGGUCGGCUGGAAAGCCGCGCCGCAGAGGGUGAGAGCCCCGUAGGAGAAGGCGGACACGGCGAUUGAGGGUGUCCAGGAGUAGCGUGCGUCGGAUAUCGCGCGCGAAUUCGGGAGGCAUUCACUUCCAACCCUAAAUACGUCUCUAGUCCGAUAGCGCAGUAGUAGCGUGAGCGAACACUGAAAAGCACCCUUAACGGGAGGUCAAAAGACCUGAAACCAUACGGUCAAAGAUUCAUAUAGCAUCAAAGGGAAGAAACCGCAAGGUGGACCAGUGUUAUAUCGUCCGUUUAGAAAAACGGUCCAGGGAGUUCUGGUCAUUGGCGAGGUUAACUCUUCAAUGAGGAAGCCGGAGGGAAACCGAUUGCCCGCAGCUUUAUGCGAGGGGCAGGGUGCGCUCGCCCGGAGUCAAUGGUGCGGAUACCCGAAGCCGGUCGAUCUAUGCCUGAGCAGGUUGAAGCCCCUCGAAGGGGGGGUGGAGGACCGAACCAGUUCUGAUGUGCAAAUCGUUUGGAUGACUUGGGUAUAGGGGUGAAAGGCCAAUCUAGGCCGGAAAUAGCUGGUUCCCCCUGAAACUAGUCGCAGCUAGACCUCGGCCGAGGCGGAACGUGAGGUAGAGCACCGAUUGGGUGCUUAGGGGAGGAAACUCCUCGGCAUCUUGUCGAACUCCGAACUUGCGUUCACCGUAGACGCCGGGUGUGAGGCCAUCCGGGGUAAGCUUGGUGGCCAUAAGGGAAACAACCCAGACCGCAGUUAAGGUCCCUAAAUUUCGGUCAAGUGUAAUACGAAAUGGCGUCGGCAGUCCAAAACAACCGGGAGGUUGGCUUAGAAGCAGCCAUCCUUCAAAGAUAGCG
rnacentral:rRNA from 1 species